AAUUUAAAUUUUAAUGUAGAAUGAACGGAUAGAAGUGCUUUUUUUAACAGAUUGAUCAUAACCGUUUAUUUUUAUUUUUAAAUAUUUUUAACCAAUUAAUCAUACUUGUUAGUAAAAUUAAAGUUAUAGAUAAGUAUAACUGUUUUUUUUAACAAAUUAGUCAUAAUCGUUCGUUCUUAUUUGAGAUAAUUUUUUACAAAUUGAUCAUAAAUUUGUACAUUAUAUUAAUUCAAAAAUAUGAUUUAUAAAUUUAUCAACCAAUCUAUCUUUUAAAUAAUUUUUAUUGUAAUAUAUUGAUAGU
rnacentral:lncRNA from 1 species